CUGAGGUCGGAGGUUGUAAUAUAUCAAAUUUGCGGACCGCAUUAAAUUUUAUCUUUACUGAAAGGAACUUUUUGUCUCUUUUAUCAGGAGGAAAAUUAAGCUGUGAACUGGAAUUCCAUCAGGCUGUCUACUGUGAAGCCCUGUGGCUUUAGCAAAGGGGCAGCAGUGGUCAGAAAUGACACUCAAAAGAAAAUGACAUGGAAUUCACAGUGGACUUCCUACUCUGUGAAAGAAAGGGAGAAGAUGCUUUUGCUUCAUGCAAUCUUCGCUUCUAAGGAGGUUGCUGCUGUUAAGCACUUCUGCAACUUAGACACACAAAGAAAUGGGAACCCUUUGCAGCCUGUAGUGGAACAUGAGCAUGGACCCUUCAGGCUUUGUCUGAUUUCUUCCUGUUUCUCCGACGUGUUGCUAAAUCAUGGCAAUGGAAGAGCUCAUCUCCAGGAUGCCAAAUCCGUGCUGCCUUCCAGGUUUAAAAUCUUAAUCCCUGAAUAACGCUGCCGCCUGCCUCCCGGCUUCCUUUGGAGACCUUCCAGCUCUGGCCAGCCCUGACCCUAUUUGACUGAAGGUAUGUGGGGCUCAAAACUGGGGCAAAUAUGGCUUCUGGCCAUUAUUAAAAUGAAUGAAAACUAUGUAAUGGAUAAUUUCAUUUAAGACCUGGUGUGAUAAGAGUUUGUGAUCAAAUGCUGGUUUCAUUUGCAGCAGUGUGCUUCCAUUGUGACUUCAGAAAAAAUCAAUGGGUGUAAGGCAAGAUGAGUCAUAAUGCACACACUGUACCAAAGGGGAGUAGAAAUUUCUCCAUAAAUAACGUCUCUUUUAGCAAGAGGCAGAACCAAAACCCUGAAAAUCUAUACUGUAUUGAACUGCACAGUUCAGGAAAGAGGCUGUAUAUAUAACAGCACGUUUUUGAAUGUGUAGGUUGCUCCUUGUGGACGGAACCUUCCUUUGAGACAGUUGGUUGCUCAUUUUCACAAAAUAUCUGUUAAGUAAUUUCCACAUUCGGGACGUGGGAUUAAAAGAUCUGUGGGGGCUUUUUUGAAACUCCUGUGUUUGGAAGGCACCUCGCACCCUACAAGCAGUGGCAGCGAAGCCAGGGAGAUGCCUCUAGGUGGGCUACUGGGAGCACGGAGAUGUUUUCACAUGCUUGGGAAAAGACAAGAAGGCCAUUUUGUCAUUUGGUGGUUGGCUUCUUGCUGCUUAUUAAAUAGGCUGCCAAACUUGUGGCUAACGAGUGAUUUUAAUGUAGUUUGAAGGCAGCUUUUGUUUCCUUCAACUGCUAUUUUAAGAAAGAUCCCGUAAAAUUAAUUGACUGAUGAACUGUAUAAUUGAUGCUGUCUACACAGUGUGCACCAGCCAAAAUUGAUGGGUAGCAGGAGCGCUGGCAUCUUGGUAGGGGCUGCGCUAACCCCUUCGGAGAACCUCUGCCUGCCCUCCCUUUAUGCUCCUGGGUAGGAGAGGGCAUGUUUAGUUUUCUGCUUACUCUAUUCCCCUUUGUACUUGCUCAUUUGCUAGGUGCAUAAAGGAGAGGAGGUCACUUGUGCACAUGGGAUAAAGAGGUAUUAUGAAUUCUAAAGUGUUUGCUUUAUUGGGAAAGCACACUGAGCAGGAAGGCGCAGGAACAUAAUGUGUGAAUUUUUAAUGAAUGCUGUGCCAAGUGUUUGUGCAUUUUUUUUCCUACCUGUAGCAGCUUUAUUCAUUUGGGAGAGUACUGCCUACAAGAUAUUCCUUAGUAGUAUGCUGGCUGCUGUUUAGUUUUAAUAAAUUAAAUCCUUUAUAUCAAUGUAAUAUUCUUUAGACAAGCACUUCCAAGACAGAUUAGAAAUGAACUUAAGGGGAUUAAAAGCUUCUCUUGCUAAAAACAAUGUUUCAGAUGGGAAAUCCACUUAUUUAUGUCACUUUCAGUGGAGUACAUUUGUCUUUAAUAUGUUGCUACUGCUAAAGAAAGCAGCGCUUUGCCCAUGACUGCAGCCUGUCUGCUCUGCUUUACAUAUGCAGCAAUGUUUAUUUUCUUCGGUACAGUAAGUCGCUUUGGGAAAGAUUGAUGGCUUCCCAUAAAACUGCGAGCAACCAUUUUCUUUGUUAUUUAGAGAAAACAAAAGAUUUAAUGGAGCUGGAGUUUUAAAUAGCGUUAGUCUCUGUAAAAUGGGAAACCGUGCGAGUGGAGCAUGUGAGCAGAGAGAAAAGCCCGCUUUGAUUUUCCCUUGCUGGCGUGCAGCAGGCAGAGCACAUCUUCAGGAAGGUUCUCGUUAUCUGUGAAAUCCUGGAUAUCUUGGGAGCAGCCUGGUCGUGCUCAGGGCUGGGCAGCAGGCCCGGGGAGGAAAAAAUCAGCUCGCAGGAAACGGCCUGACCCUUAUCCAGCUGAUCUGGUUUUGUGUUAAAUGUUUGUCCCAGCACGUGGCUCAAUGAUGUGCCAAGCCUGGUGUUCGGGCCACUGGCACACCUCAAAAUCUCCUGAACGCCCUGUGGAGACCCAGCUUGGUGUACCCGCUGCGCAGCACCCAGGCUGGAUCCGAGGUUGUCUGGUGGGGAACAGGCAACGAGAAGGCCAAGGGAUCAGAGCAUUCGUGCCCCAAAACAGACAGCACAGCCCGCUAACUCUGCUGGCAACCUGAGCUUUCAGUUCACCUCCUGGGGCACGAAAUGCCCCGUUUGGGAGCGUGUUCCCCCGGGAGCUGAGCGCAGGGUCGGAGUAGGUGCCGGGACGCAGCUCACCAACAGCUCAGUUACAGCCUGUGGAGACGUAAUUAUUUAAUUGCACUGCAGGUGACUUCAUCACGGGAAGAGGUUCGCCCCUCUCAGCACACAAAGUGCGCCUUGGCAGCUGUGUCCCUGACACAGAGCUGAAUUUUGUUAUCUCAGGCACACCUCUCCCGGUCAUCAUUUAAAACUGUUUCAGAAUAAGUUCUGUGCCAUCAUGCUGCGCUAUCCUGUGAGGUAUUAUUUAUUUAAAUGGCUUCCAAGUGAGUUAUCUCCCAGUGCUUGCUUAUAAGAAGAUCAUUUCCCACAGGGCUUUCGGGUCACUGAUGCUCCAGGCUCCCCUGCCUGGUUUCAGUCCCUGUUUACCCACUGCUCCUGGCCCCUUCCCGUGCCAAAAAAAAUGAUGCCUAGCUUUAACUGGGGCACAUCUGAUAUAGCAGGGGAUAACUUUUCAAAGCAGUGCUCCAGGAUUGAGAUGUUUGACUCCUCUGGGAUUCAGUAGGACCCUACACUGAGGCUUUGUAUCAGCCUCAUAUUCCUAAGGCUGUAUGAGACCAGGCAGCUUGGCAGAAAUUAAACCACUCUCUUCAUUUUAUCUUAUUUUGUGCCAUUUUGUUGUCAGAAGCCAGAUUUAACUCCUCUCCCCCAAAAUAUUUUUUUUGGUGGUCUUAGCAUUUAUCAGACUUCUAAAUCCUUACAUAUUGCUCGUGAUAAGAGGAUAACUUCACCACUGGUUUCACAGUGGAAAAGGUAGGUUCAUUUUCUGCCAAAUAGCGAUGGGCUCUCCUGGCAGUGUAACCACUCCGUGUGCACUGGGGAUAAAACGUACACAUUGCUACAGUGCUGAGCUGAAAGAAGAAAACUUAUCAUUCAAGAAAAAAAUGAUAUAAUUAGGAUCAGGGCUGGAAUCUCACUGGGAAAUGUGGUGUAAAAAUGCUUCUCAUUUUAAAUUAAGCUUUCAAUGGCAAGUGCUUGGCUUUCAGCAACUCCUCUGAAACUCUUUUAAUUGAAGUUCCAUGAAAAUCUGGGGAGUUCAGCUCAAGUUCACCUCCCAAACCCAUCCUGAUUUCAUUAAAGAUCUGAUCUUUUUUUAUUUGCCAAUAAAAUAUAUAUGUGUAUGUGUGUGUGUAAAUCAGUAUCUGCUCCAUAACUGUUUUUUUAUUGUGUUUUUUUUUAAUUUUAUUUUUAAUUUUUUUUUUUUAAAGGAAGUUUCCCUUCUCUUUAUG
ensembl:lncRNA